CACUGGUUCUCUCGCGACGAUAAACUGCGAACCCCGCCAGACCCGGAAGGGAGCAACGGUAGUGGUGGACUCGGGCGCCGGAGUGUGGCUGGGGCAG
rnacentral:SRP_RNA from 1 species